rnacentral:pre_miRNA from 1 species
UCUUAUGGAUGAGUGGAGGGAGUGGCUUCUUGAGAUGGAAUCUACUCCUGGUGAAGAUGCUGUGAA